GACGAACGCUGGCGGCGUGCUUAACACAUGCAAGUCGAACGGAAAGGCCCUGCUUUUGUGGGGUGCUCGAGUGGCGAACGGGUGAGUAACACGUGAGUAACCUGCCCUUGACUUUGGGAUAACUUCAGGAAACUGAGGCUAAUACCGGAUAGGAGCUCCUGCUGCAUGGUGGGGGUUGGAAAGUUUCGGCGGUUGGGGAUGGACUCGCGGCUUAUCAGCUUGUUGGUGGGGUAGUGGCUUACCAAGGCUUUGACGGGUAGCCGGCCUGAGAGGGUGACCGGCCACAUUGGUACUGAGAUACGGCCCAGACUCCUACGGGAGGCAGCAGUGGGGAAUAUUGCACAAUGGGCGGAAGCCUGAUGCAGCAACGCCGCGUGCGUGAUGACGGCCUUCGGGUUGUAAACCGCUUUCGCCUGUGACGAAGCGUGAGUGACGGUAAUGGGUAAAGAAGCACCGGCUAACUACGUG
rnacentral:rRNA from 1 species